rnacentral:rRNA from 1 species
CAGUAGCCGCGGUAAUACGAAGGGGGCUAGCGUUGUUCGGAAUCACUGGGCGUAAAGCGCACGUAGGCGGACUUUUAAGUCAGGGGUGAAAUCCCAAGGCUCAACCUUGGAACUGCCUUUAAGACUGCCGAGCUAGCAGGUGAGAGAGGUAAGUGGAAUUCCGAGUGUAGAGGUGAAAUUCGUAGAUAUUCGGAAGAACACCAGUGGCGAAGGCGGCUUACUGGCUCAUACUGGACGCUGAGGUGCGAAAGCGUGGGGAGCAAACAGGAUUAGAUACCCCGGUAGUCCCUGUCUCUUAUAC